CUUUUUUCAAUUUAUCUUCUCACAUCUAUUUCACAGUCCAUCUUGGUACGGAACGACUCAUCUUCAACUUUCCAAAAAAAACGAGUAUCAAAAGACAUGGCAACUCAGCAUCGUGAAACAUACCCCAGUGACAGAGACAAUGACGCCGAAAAUAAGAUAUUAUUGAAGGGACCGGGUUUCCAUUUUGAAAUCGACCCAUCCAGCACGACCAAGAUUUCAUUUUUUGUUCAUAAAAAUGAAAUAGAAUUCACCCUU